GAUGAAGAACGUAGCGAAAUGCGAUACGUAAUGUGAAUUGCAGAAUUCAGUGAAUCAUCGAAUCUUUGAACGCAUAUUGCGCUCUUUGGUAUUCCGAAGAGCAUGCUUGUUUGAGUAUCAGUAAACACCUCAACCUCUUCUUGAUUUUUCAAAAGGAGGGUGGACUUGAGCUAUCCCAACAACCUUUACCGGUCGGCGGGCGGCUUGAAAUGCAGGUGCAGCUGGACUUUUAUCUGAGCUAAAAGCAUAUCUAUUUAGUCCUCGUCAAACAGGAUUAUUACUUUUGCUGCAGCUAACAUAAAGGAUAAUUGUCCUCUUUGCUGACUGAUGCAGGAUUUUACGACACUUUAUGUGUUGUUCAACUCGAUCUCAAAUCAAGUAAGACUACCCGCUGAACUUAAGCACAUCAAUAAGCGGAGGA
rnacentral:misc_RNA from 1 species